rnacentral:lncRNA from 1 species
GCCAAGCACGAGCUGGAGCUGAUGGAACUCAACUCCAGCAGUGGAGGAGAGGGCAAGACCGGGGGCUCCCGCAGUGACCUGGACAACCUCCCUCCAGAGCCUGCGGGGAAGGAGGCGCCCAGCUGCAGCAGCCGGCUGAAGCUCUCCCACAGCGACACCUUCAUCCCCCUCCUGACCGAGGAGAAGCACCACAGGACCCGGCUCCAGAGUUGCAAGUGACAGGAGGGCCCCUCAGGCAGAGAUGGACCAGGCGGUGGACAGAUGGGUAGAUGUGGCAGGCAUGUCAUCGACAGCACAGAAGGGCUGUCCUGUGUCCCCCCAACCCUCCCCUGGACAGACUCUGAAGGCCCUCCCGGCACCUCUGCCAAGGCUGGGUGAAAUGGAUCUUUCAAGGACUCCUCCGCUACUUCUGCCUUGCCUAAGCUUAUGUCCCUUCUAUAAGAAGCAGAGAUCAGCUUGUCAAGACCAGGGAAAGUGAUUUUAAAAUUCCCGGAUUGGCUCCUGCCUCAAAUACACACAGCUUUUAUUAUGACCUAGCCAAAAAGAAAAAAUGUAGUAAAAGUGCUAACAGAUUACAACAUGAAGUGACCAAGUCUAUUCAAAUGACCACUUUAGCCACUGGGCUCAGAGAUGGUGUCUGAAAAUGGAAUUGCAAUGUAGAACCUUAAAUAUCUCAUGAAUCCCCCUAGUUUGUGCUUGGCUCAUAAACACUGCACAAAUAACAUUGGCUGGAUGGCUGGGUGGAUGGGUGGAUGGAUGGAUGGAUGGAUGGAUAAGUGAAUGGAUGAAUGGAUGGAUAGGUAUACGUUUGGGUGGCUGGGUGGCUGGGUGGCUAGGUGGAUGGAUGGAUGGAUGGGUAAAGGGAUGGGUGGAUGGAUGGAUAAGUGGAGAAAUGGAUGUGUGGGUGAGUGGGUGAAUGUAUGUAUGGAUGGAUAGAUGAGUGUGGGUGGGUGGAUGUAUAUAUGGAUGGAUGGAUGUUUGGGUAGAUGGGUGAGUGGGUGGAUGGAUGGAUGGAUGGAUGGUUGGAUGGAUGGAUGAACACAUACAAUGCCCUCCCUCUCUUCUUUCAACUAUCUAAAUUCACGAUCUAAUAUGGUUUGGUUCUGUGUCCCCACCCAAAUCUCAUCUCGAAUUGUAAUCCCCAUGUGUCAGGCGAGGAACCUGGUGGGAGGUGAUUGGAUCAUGGGGGUGGUUUCCCCCAUGCUGUUCUCAUGAUAGUGAGGGAGUUCUCAUGAGAUCUGGUGGUUUAAAUGUGUGUUCCUACUCACUCCCUCUUUCUCCUGCCAUGUAGGAUGUGCUUUGCUUCCUCUUCAUUUUCUGCUGUAAUUUUAAGUUUCUUGAGGCCUCUCCAGCCAUGCAG